AGAGGAGAUUGUACCCGAGGACGCGCGCUCACGCAGUGGGGGAGGAGGAAGUGCACAGAACAUCACGUGCGCAAGUCGUUGAUUUCGUUAGUUUAGACAAAUGAAAGUAGAGGCAAUUAGGAUGAGAAGGUCUAUUUAAAGCACCUGUAGCCUGUGGAGACUCUUGUUUUUAAAAAAGACAUGCUGUGGAGCUGUAAAUACUAUUUGUCUGGAAUUCAAAAGGAUUGUGGGAAAAGACCUGCACCAGGAAUUUUAUUCUGCCCUUGAUAACCACGCUACCCGUUUUAUUGAAAGUUUUAAAGCUAAGAGGGGCAACGUGGGUGACAGUUGGCACAGCUUUUGCAGAAAAUGCAGUCACUGGAUUCUACUGAAAAAAGGACAGUCACACUCAGAGGGCUUCCUUACUUACUCGGAGACAAUCCCACUGAAUUCUUCAAAUCUAGCUUUGAUGGAGAUGAAUCCUUUCGCCAAAUGGACAUUGGGAUCUUGUUAGUAAAUCUGAAGGUGUCUCUCUUCCAACACCAGAUCUUCACCCAGCUGCCUGAAAAUCAUCAUUGAAGGUGAAAUUGUUAUGGACAAGCUGACAACUCUUAUAACCCCUUGUUUGAAUUGUGAAAUGUAAAACACAAAAGCAAAUGCUGUUACAGGGA